rnacentral:rRNA from 1 species
UACAAAGGGGGCAAGCGUUAUUCGGAAUUAUUGGGCGUAAAGGGCGCGUAGGCGGCUUGGCAAGUGGAUGGUGAAAUCCCUCGGCUUAACCGAGGAACUGCCGUCCAAACUGCUUCGCUUGAGACCGGGAGAGGUGAGUGGAAUUCCCAGUGUAGCGGUGAAAUGCGUAGAUAUUGGGAGGAACACCAGUGGCGAAGGCGGCUCACUGGACCGGUACUGACGCUGAUGCGCGAAAGCGUGGGGAGCAAACGGG